rnacentral:rRNA from 1 species
UACAGAGGGUGCGAGCGUUAAUCGGAAUUACUGGGCGUAAAGCGUGCGUAGGCGGUUCUGUAAGUCGGGUGUGAAAUCCCCGGGCUCAACCUGGGAAUUGCAUUCGAGACUGCAGAGCUAGGGUGCGGAAGAGGGAAGCGGAAUUUCCGGUGUAGCGGUGAAAUGCGUAGAUAUCGGAGGAAUACCGAUGGCGAAGGCAGGUCUCUGGGCUGACACUGACGCUCAUGCACGAAAGCGUGGGGAGCAAACAGG